GAGGGAAGUAAGAAAAAAAUAAGAGAGUGAAUAAAGAAAUCAGUCUUCAACCAAACAUCAUUCUAAUGGGAAAACUUACUGUACAUCUAUAUGUGAACGUUUGCAUCACAUUUAGGUGUCACCAAGGGAACAUAAUAUGUGUGGAGACCUAUUUGAUCUUCUCAAGAUUCACCUGGGAACACUUGCCUAUCACCAUGAAGAUCAGUGAAAUAUAGCAGACCCCACUGAAGACCUCCAAAAUCUGUCCAAGAAUGAAAUUCAGCAGUCACAGUUUUACUUCCUGACAAAGUCAAGUUGCUGAUGUGUCAUAUCUGUGGCUGUCCUGCAGAGAAGCUCGAACCCGCAGCCCUAAUGGGCCGUUUGGGGGAUGCUGAUUGGCAUAUCCGAUGAGUCCUGUCGGUUGUGUUGUGUGUGUCCAGCCCAGCUUCUGUUACUCCGAGGUGUGCAUUUUCCUCUGUUAAUGGUCCUGCAGCACCAAACUUUCUGGUGAUCGCUGUCUAAUUGCUGCCUGUGUCAGUGGAUGCCACAUCAGCCCUGAGAAAAACGGCCAAAUGAGACACACAUCAAACGCGAGCGGAGGCCGUGAUGAUGAAGAUGAAGGUCUGCUGUUUACUCAUUACACACAUAUCAUGUGUGUGCGGCGGAGGCAGUGGGACUGAGACCUUGGCACUUCAAAAUGGGUCUCGCACACAUACACAUCAUUAGUGCCAUGAGAAUGGCAUAAAUGAGGCCCACGCACUCAGCACCUAAUGGUUUGUGUCUGAGGGCAAUUCUUUUAGCGAUGUCAUAUGGAAAAACAGCAUGAUAACAGUAAAAAUAUGUGAAACUGUCCAGUGUAUUUUCGUUUUAAUGAGACAGGCAAACAAAUAAGGCGGAUAACUAUAAAUAACACAGUUAAUUGAUUUGUUUAGGGUCUUUUAGCAUGAGAUUGUCAUGUAAAAUAUUUUUGAUGCAUUAAAAAAUGAUCACAAAUGGAGUAUACGGAGUAUAACUUUGCAAAUAUUUCCCCUCAAACACACAAAUACACAGCAUUUCCUUCCUCGGAGGAGUCAUAAAAACCAAAUAGGAGUUUUCAGAGAAACUGCUUGCACACCACACUGAAGAUUAAUUACUGUAGCCUA